rnacentral:rRNA from 1 species
GUAGUCUCGCACAGAUGCAUAUCAAUAAGCGGAGGAAAAGAAACUAACAAGGAUUCCCCUAGUAACGGCGAGUGAAGCGGGAAGAGCUCAAAUUUGAAAUCUUAAAGGGUUUCCCUUUACGAAUUGUAGUUUAAAGAAGUGUUUUCUGUUGAGGUUUUGGUAAAAGUUCUUUGGAAUAGGACAUCAUAGAGGGUGAGAAUCCCGUAUUUGACCUUUACUUUCAACUUUGUGAUACACUUUCAAAGAGUCGGAUUGUUUGGGAAUGCAGUCCAAAAUGGGUGGUAAAUUUCAUCUAAAGCUAAAUAUUGGCGAGAGACCGAUAGCGAACAAGUACCGUGAGGGAAAGAUGAAAAGAACUUUGAAAAGAGAGUUAAACAGUACGUGAAAUUGUCAAAAGGGAAGCGUUUGACACCAGUGUUGUUUUUCUGAAAAUCAAUUAAAGAACUGUUUAUGCUAAGUUGUUUAGACUUUAUCAGCUAACUGUUUAGUUUUGAGCUUUUCUUUAAUGCACUUUUCAGUUAACAAGUCAACAUCAAUUUCUUUUGCUGUAAAAAAGCUUGAGGAAGGUGGCUUGAGAUUCGUCUUAAGUGUUUAUAGCCUCUUGCCUAUGCAGUCGGAGAGAUUGAGGUCUGCAGCGUAGAUCCUUCGGGGCUAAAUGCAUUUGUGCUAAGUUAUAGCAUUUUAUAGACAACUUGUUGACUAUGAUUUGUCUUGUAGCUUACUCGCUUAUGUUAUUUUACCUACGCUUAGGAUGUUGAAGACUCUACAGAGAU